rnacentral:rRNA from 1 species
GUGGCGGACGGGUGAGUAACGCGUGAGGAACCUGCCUUUCAGAGGGGGACAACAGUUGGAAACGACUGCUAAUACCGCAUGACACAUCGGAGUCGCAUGGCUCUGAUGUCAAAGAUUUAUCGCUGAAAGAUGGCCUCGCGUCUGAUUAGCUAGUUGGUGAGGUAACGGCCCACCAAGGCGACGAUCAGUAGCCGGACUGAGAGGUUGAACGGCCACAUUGGGACUGAGAUACGGCCCAGACUCCUACGGGAGGCAGCAGUGGGGAAUAUUGGGCAAUGGGCGCAAGCCUGACCCAGCAACGCCGCGUGAAGGAAGAAGGCUUUCGGGUUGUAAACUUCUUUUGUCAGGGACGAGUAGAAGACGGUACCUGACGAAUAAGCCACGGCUAACUACGUGCCAGCAGCCGCGGUAAUACGUAGGUGGCAAGCGUUGUCCGGAUUUACUGGGUGUAAAGGGCGUGUAGCCGGGAGGGCAAGUCAGAUGUGAAAUCCACGGGCUCAACUCGUGAACUGCAUUUGAAACUACUCUUCUUGAGUAUCGGAGAGGCAAUCGGAAUUCCUAGUGUAGCGGUGAAAUGCGUAGAUAUUAGGAGGAACACCAGUGGCGAAGGCGGAUUGCUGGACGACAACUGACGGUGAGGCGCGAAAGCGUGGGG